rnacentral:rRNA from 1 species
UACAGAGGGGGCAAGCGUUGUUCGGAAUUACUGGGCGUAAAGGGCGCGUAGGCGGCCUGUUAAGUCGAACGUGAAAUCCCCGGGCUCAACCCGGGAACUGCGUCCGAUAUUGGCAGGCUUGAAUUCGGGAGAGGGAUGUGGAAUUCCAGGUGUAGCGGUGAAAUGCGUAGAUAUCUGGAGGAACACCGGUGGCGAAGGCGGCAUCCUGGACCGAUAUUGACGCUGAUGCGCGAAAGCCAGGGGAGCAAACGGG